UCAGUGUGCUUAGCUUUUCUUUUGCUUUCAUUUCUAUGUAAUAUUCUAAUCAAUUGCUUCCUAAGCAACUUUUGUGUAAAAAAGCCAGGCUUCUUUGUGGAAUUAUGCAGGUGUUAUUGUUUGAACUUGAGCCAUGUCUCUUUUUCUUGUCCAACUUUUCCUUCUAUCUGGCUAGAGGAAAAAGAUAUUCAUGUCCUGAGAAUCACAAGAAAGGUACAGAGCACAAACCAGGUACAGAGCUGACUGUAUACCUUUGCUACUCAUGAGAAGGAAAUUGUCUUAGGACAUUUGCAUUUCUGUAUCAGUAAUCAUGAAGACUGGCCAGAGCACAGCUUCCUAUCAUCCUACUCCCACUUCAGCUAAUGAGAGCUCUUAAGCUACCUUAAUUGUGGGUCUAAUUCUGCUUCCAUGUCUAUUUUGGACUUCAAAAGGUUUAAUGAAAAGUAAGUGGUGAGGAUAGACACUUAGCAAUGAAGUGAUCUGUAAACUCUUGUACGUGACGAGUAACCGUUGCCACUGGCACAAGCAGACACAGUCCAAGAGGAAAUUACACAGUUGGUGGCAGUAGCUGUCUAAAAUUAUAAAGGAAGGAUAACCAGAUGAAAUGCAUAUAAAUACAAACAAUUUGAAUACUCUUGAUUUUAUACUCAAACACACAAUUACAUGUCCUUGGUUAUUUUGUAGCAGACAAGUUGGUGCCAGAGUAGUCACUAAUCUGUUAUAAUAAAUUUUACUUCUAAAAGCUUGUAAUAGCCUCUCACAGUAAAGUGUAGUGGUGAUUUGAAUUCCACUUCGUGUAUUCUGUAGGUACAAAGAGUAUGUUUCUCUGUUUAUGAACUAAUCUCUAGAAAGGGUGUGAGAUUAAAGUGAUUUAACUGGCAAGGUAGAGGGAGCCCAAUUCACUGAAACUACAGCCAUCCCCUAUGUAAAGGUUGAUAUGGAAGAUGCUGUGAUGAAGGAGGAGGAAAUAAAGACAGUUAAAAAAUAUCAAGGGUAUUAACAAGGCUGUAGUAACUGCUGUUGUUAACUAUAAUGUAAGUUAAUAGCAGAGUCUGGAUAAGGAGACCGAAACCACUGAGUAUUAUGGUAUUAGAAGUGGAAUAGGUGCAGCCACCAUAAUUUCUAAUGGCUCUAUAGAUAGCGCCACUGAUAAAUAAGAGCUGUUUUCUUUUUGCUCCCUUUUUUUAAAACAGGAAACUGUAGGAGGUUGGAGGCUGUUCUGCUCUAACAGCCCUGUGCUUGAUCAUUUGCUCCAUUACAGGAUUACAGAGUUAAGGAGUGGUUUUAUUGUCUAAGGACCAAUAGUGAUGCAGUAUUCAUCUUCCACCUAACCUGGGCAAAAAAUCCCCAUAAAAAUUAGCUAGAUCUCUUAAUAGUGAUUUGAGCCCAAUAAAUGUCUGUCAUGUGCCUAAACAAACCAUAUGAAAUGGUGAACAUGAAAGCAACAGCCAUGGUGAGACUUGCUUUCCUAUGGCUUAGUAUCUUGACCACAACACCUUUGGUUGCCUCAGAAGUCUUCACAGAAUCACAGAAUUGUAGGGGUUGGAAGGGACUUUCUGUGUGUUGGGAAUGCAAUACAUGUAUUUUAUCUCCUGUGCUCUGCACUUUCACUAACUUUUAAGUUCACAAUUCCUUGCAAGGUUAUGCUCUUCUUUCUGUGCUCCCCAUCCCAAUACAGAAGCUCCAGCUGACCAGUCUCCUCAGUCUCCAGAUGCUGCAGUAUCUGUAGCCAACUCUCCUGCCCACAGUGUUGAUAUGCAUUACUGUACAAGAGAGCACACGUGUGUUGUGGUGGGUUAAGUGGCUCCUGGAUCUUGGCUGCUGGUUUCAAGGAUGAGAGUAACUCCCAGGAUGCAGGUUGUGCAGGCCUGUAGGCAAUGAGUAGCUGUGGUCCUCUUCAGAUUUGUAGAAAUAGGCCAAGGGAGGCAGGAAGUCCUCAGAUACUACAGGUAGCAUGAGUCUGUAAGCAUUGUUUCCAGGCUAAAAGUUUUAUCUUGCUUCUUAAAUAGUACAUUAGAAGCUUGAGACAAACCAACCUACACCAAAAGCUACUGUGAUCACCAGUCCCUUGGGUAUAAUGUGGAGGGGCAGGCUCCAGCCAGCCUGGGGAAAAAACAGUACCAAUGCUCAGCUGGAGUUUGUAUAAACCUGCAGAGGACUACGGGUGACAUGUCCUUGUGUGGUUAAUCCCCGUCAGACUCUGCAGUGUUGGACACACUUGGCUCUUCCUUUGCACACUGUGCAGGAGUAUAUCAACCAGGCAUCCAGGCAGAUUAACAGAAGAGCUCUGCAGUUUAUCUCCCCACCCCUUUGGGAUUCUAUCAGUCAGCUACAAUAUAUUGUAAUAGAUAUUUAGGCUAGCAUUGCCCAAUGUAUAACACUCCAUCACACUGGUGUAAACACCCAUGUAUUUACAUAGAAAGAACUACCUCAGCUCUCUGAAACAAAAUGCCUUGUGAAGUUGCUAAAAUGCAAUUCUCAGAAAGCACUAGUUGAAGGCAAAUGUUUGAAAUGAGAUCGUGUCUCCAGUGAAGUCACUAGGAGCUCAGCCAUCAGCUUUGGCAGAGCUGGGACAUCUCUCUUUGAAGUGUUUCUCUCGGAGGAGUCAAACAUUUUAAGUCUCUUAAUGCUAACACUGGAGACUUCAGAAAUGAGAUUGAGCAAGGUAUUUGGAUGACUGAUGCUUAUUUUUCUGGAUUAUCCGGGAAUAUCUGGUGGGUGUGCAGAGUUUGAGAAGUUAGGUGGAAGAAUCAACAUGUAGACUUUCCUGUUUUAAACAAUUUGAAGUCAGGCUAUAACUUUGCUGCAGAUGGAGCUCUUUGCUAGCCAAGGACUUUCAGCACUUUUUUACAGUUUAAAAAUUUCUUCUAAAGGGGAUAAUUUUUACAGUUCUUGCUUCCCUUUAGAGCUAUUGGAGUAGUAUGGGAUACACUGUGUGGUACAGCACAAACAUCAGCAAGGAUUUGGUUUUGCUUUAUCCAGCUUACCAGUGGCAAAACCACCAUACCAGCCUGGACUGUAAAGUCUGUGCUUACUACCACUGAAAUAGAAAUAUUGUUAGAUGUUUUGGGUCACUUCCGGAAGGUUCCGAGGGCGCCAUUUUGGGUGAGAUGCUUCCCUCAGCAGCACUCAAGGAAGCACAAAAUGGCGCCAAGCAGCAAGGCGUGAGGGCAGAAGGGGUGUUCCAGGCAUGGGGAGCUGCAGCCUGUGAGAAGGACCCACAUGGAGCAGGGCAAGUGUGGGAGGACGCAGGCUGAGGGAAGCUGCUGUUCUCACUAGCAAACAUAUUUUCACUGCCCGCAUAUUAUUGAGCCUUUUAUCCAAGCUGUUUUGCUGGUGAUGGUGCUUGGAAUCGAGUCUAGCGAAGUGCAGUUCUCAAUCCCAUGAAGAAAUUGUUUCUGAAGUUUGGAUUCUAAUCCUUUCCAAAGGCGAUGAACUCCUGUGGGGAGAUAAGAGCAUGCCAGGUCCUGAGGGAAGAGAACGGAAGGAUAGAAGAAGCAUCAUUUUUGAGUGUACUCUUUGCACAUCACACAAGCUUUUUCAGCCUGUGAAGAAGCCAGUGCAGCCCUGGAGACUGCUGGUAGCAGUGCAGAUGAUGAGAAUGAUGAAGGAACCACAGCUGCUUUCUGAAGUGGUCAGGUUUAGCUUUUCUGCUUGGCAAAUUCGCUAUCAGUGAUGUCCCUCUGUUGCUGGAUAUGCAAUCGUUUUGCUAAGAACAAACAGUGUUCAGGUAAUUAAAAAAAGCUAUGACAAACUGCAUCCAUUGUAUAAAUAUAGAUAAAUUGGCUUUUUGGAACAGGGCAUAUAACAGAAAAACUAAAUAUUUUGUUUCUUCAUUGAAGUCUUUCCUGUGGCUGGAAAGAAGAUACAAGCUUUUUUUCCCCUACUUGAUAACUAGUGAAUCCUCCUCACCCUGAAAAACCCCAAAGAAGUCUUUCAAGUGAGAACUGAGAUUUCCUCAUCAUUCUGUUUUUUUGGUAAUUUAUAUUUCAACAGCAGAAAGGUGCAAGACCUCUUUCUUACCUUGUGAUGUGCAAAUAAGGAUACCAAGGACAUUUGAUUUUGGUCUGUCCUGCCUGGAAAAGAAGUGCUGUAACAGUUGAUAGCGGCUCUUUCCUCCCAGUGUGCUCCCUGGUGAGAUUGUGCUGCACCGAGAGCUGUGCAAGCUGAGCUUGCGAGGCUCCAACACUCUGCUUGACAAGGGUGUGAUAAGCUCUUCCAGUCUCAUGGGAGUGAACAUCCUCACACAUGGAGCUGGGAUUUCCCCGUCCUGGGCUAUAGCUUUGUUGACAAGCUUAUUUUUCACUUUAGCAUAGUAAAUAGAGUGUAUCUCCUGCUUGGUGAUGAUUCAUCUCUGAUUAUGUUUAAUAAUUAGAAUUCCAUGCUUGUCUACAGCUUCCUCCGUGCUCUGCCAAAGCGGGUAGGCUCUGCUCUGAACAGCUCCAUCUGUUGGCACCACAUCUCCAUAGCAAAAAAAAAAAA